GCCUGAAGAGGUUCAUUUUCAUCAGUCGUGCCAAGCAUCUCAUCCACCAGGAGCUGUCUUUCGCUGGCACCACCAAAAGCUAGACACUUCUCAACAACAUUAGAGGCGAACUUCUGCUGGCUCAUUUGCACAAUCUUCCCAGCUAGUUCCUCAAUAAUAGCAGAACGCUCGUGUGGCUUCCCAUGCUCCAGGACAUGCUGAAUAA
rnacentral:misc_RNA from 1 species